rnacentral:rRNA from 1 species
AGUGAACGCUGGCGGUAGGCCUAACACAUGCAAGUCGAACGGCAGCACAGUAAGAGCUUGCUCUUACGGGUGGCGAGUGGCGGACGGGUGAGGAAUACAUCGGCAUCUACUUUUUCGUGGGGGAUAACGUAGGGCCACUUACGCUAAUACCGCAUACGACCUACGGGUGAAAGCAGGGGAUCUUCGGACCUUGCGCGAUUGAUUGAGCCGAUGUCGGAUUAGCUAGUUGGCGGGGUAAAGGCCCACCAAGGCGACGAUCCGUAGCUGGUCUGAGAGGAUGAUCAGCCACACUGGAACUGAGACACGGUCCAGACUCCUACGGGAGGCAGCAGUGGGGAAUAUUGGACAAUGGGCGCAAGCCUGAUCCAGCCAUACCGCGUGGGUGAAGAAGGCCUUCGGGUUGUAAAGCCCUGUUGUUGGGAAAGAAAAGCAGCAGGUUAAUACCCCGCUGUUCUGACGGUACCCAAAGAAUAAGCACCGGCUAACUUCGUG